rnacentral:lncRNA from 1 species
GGUGACCUAUAUAGAAUAAGAUCUGUGUUCUAGUUUAGACAAGGAAUUUAUUCUGCAAUGUUUUCAGAAUAUGAAAUCGCGUCGUGGUUUGUUGUAAGCGGUGUGCUUUGAACUACUUUUUUAUAUAAAGAAAGACACCCCCUUGGCUCAAAUUCUGGCUCCGCCCCUAUCUUUAUGGUUGUGUUUCUUUUUCGGGCUAGAGUAAUCGAAUGUGUAGUUUAUGGUUGUGUUCGAGUAUGAUUGGAUUCAAACAUAAUACUUUAAGAUCAUAAGUACACAACUAUAUCACCAAAAGUAUGGGAGAUAAUAUUAGAGAUCAACGUACGAAAUAUACUAUCAGAAACUAAAUUAUAUAACGUAAAUUAAUAUAAUGAGAAAAGCCUCUCACUGCUUACUGGAAAUGGUAUUGCCGCAUAUAUAUAUAUAUAUAUAGCUUGAAUUAGCUUACUAAUGGAGAAGUUAUGUUGGACUUAUAACCAUCAUCAUCAUCAUCAUCACCAUGAUGGUUAAGCAGCAGGAGCAAAAUCGUAAUCUCCUCCGUCGUCGUCAUCAUCAUCCCCAUCGUCACCUUCAUUAUUACCACGCUGCCAUUGAGCAGCAACACUGUCGGCAUAAUGAUAGCGGCAACCUUGGUUGGAAAGAUCUCCAUCAGCAUGCUGCAGCGUCGUAACCAACACGAUCAAAAUGUUCGACGAAGCAUCCAUAUUAAAAGAAGAAGGAGAAGCAGAGGGUCAACUUUCUAAUUAAGAAUGGUGAUUAUUACUGUGAAACUUUUUUUGGCCUUGAGACUGUAUAUGUGUUGUAUGAUUGUGGUUGAUUCUAUGUAUGUGUUCUGAAGGAGAGUGUGAUUAAAUAGAAAGGG